CUUUAAAUUUAGUAAGAUGAAAAAGGAAAUAUAUAGAAUGUUUUCCAUAACUUUUCCUGUCUCAAUUAAUAUUUGCCCCUUUCUCUCAUGAAAUUGAGUUUGAGGGGAGAUAGAAUAGAAUGCAAGAUGUGAAAUUCAAUGAAAUAUUAA